GCCAGUGUGGUGUAGUGGUUUGAAUGUUGGACUAUGGCUCAGGAGACCAGGGUUUGAUUCCCUGCCCAGGCA
rnacentral:tRNA from 1 species